rnacentral:snoRNA from 1 species
UGGCACAUAGAAAUGACUUCUUCUCAUUCCUUUUGGACCAGGAAUACAUCCAUAACAUGUUAUAUUUAAAAAAAAGUUCUCAGGGCUGCCAACUUUAGAGUAGAGGUUGAGUGGUAGUAUAUUUCUCCUACAUUA